rnacentral:rRNA from 1 species
GGAGGUGGCAAGCGUUACUCGGAAUCAUUGGGUGUAAAGGGCAAGUAGGCGGUCUAAUAAGUGGGGGGUGAAAUCUUCCGACUCAAUCGGAAAACUGCCUUUCAAACUGUUAGACUUGAGGAUGGAAGAGGAAAGUGGAAUUCUCGGUGUAAGGGUGAAAUCUGUGGAGAUCGAGAAGAACACCAGCGGCGAAGGCGACUUUCUGGUCCAUCUCUGACGCUGAAUUGCGAAAGCUAGGGGAGCAAACAGAAUUAGAUACUCUGGUAGUCCUAGCCGUAAACGAUGAGCACUAGGUGUUGGCCCGUAAGGGUCAGUGCCGCAGCUAACGCAUUAAGUGCUCCACCUGGGGACUACGGCCGCAAGGCUA